rnacentral:lncRNA from 1 species
CUUUUCUCUUUCCCUUUAAACAGCAGUGCAGGUGAUCAGAAAUGAAGGCAACCCAGUUGUGAGAAUGUGAUUAAAUAAUAAAUAAAGGUGUUUCUUAUUAGGAAAAACAAAAGUGCCGUUCUAAGAAGGGUAGGAAAACAAAUACCUGCAAAGGUUUAAAUGCCACAACUCAAAAAUAACAAAAUAUACGAAGAACUGAAGUUCAGACAACAGGAAAGGUCAAGCUUCAUAACCCAGCCCCUCGGAGAUCCCUGCUGCACAGACACGUGUUCUUUCAGAAGGCAUUAAACAAAGCCAGGGACUACGGUGACACGAAGGGCUACACCCUCACAGUAACCUCUCAUUCAGCUUCUUAUGGGAACAUCUCCUCCCCUCCAACUGCACAGAGGAAGAGAUCCAAGAGGCCUGCCUUCCUCUAAAGCAUACAGCAGAGGUGGGGGGUUCAGACCCCAGUCCUACCAAGCAGACCCCUCCUGCUGAGGGGUUUGGUUCUGCCUGUUUUCCUCCUCUUCCUUUUCUAUUUUUUUUUCCCCAUAGGAAGAAACUGAAGAAAGGAAUUCUGCGACAAACAAAGCAUUGAAAAGUGAAGGAGCUCCUGGUGAAGGGCAUCUGACUGAAAGCUGUAAGCUGUGGUGCUUCAGUGGUGCUUCACACAACCAUUUCCCUCAGAGUUCACCUCUCAGAUCUUCUCUGCUCCAGUUUGCCUCUGCCUUCUCUCAGAGCAACACUGGUUGUGGACAAUGAACUCGCAUCGAGGCAGGGACAGCACGCUCCCCUGCUAGCGAAGUUCAUUGAGGUUCUGGUGGUGAAGGUUUGGGCGCUGCCUGUUCAAGUUGAUGGUGUUGUCCAGCGUGAUGCUGUCAUCCUCCUGCGUGGUUUCUGGCAUGAACUGCCGGAAUAUGCUGACACUGCCGUGCCAGAAGAUGGGCUCGGGGAGCCGCCCUGCUACACUCCAUGUUCGCGUCUCAGGGUCAUAAGCUUCCAGGACAUCCGAGAGCUCAAAGGUGUUGUCGUAGCCGCCGGAGACGUAGAGCUUCCCUCCUAGCACAGCAACACUGCCCCCAACGUGGACCUACAGUUUAAGAUUGGAUAAGCACCACAAUUAGAAGGGCAGGUAUUACCCAACCAGGAAGGUCUCCUGCCCACUCAGAGGCAAGCGUGGGACACAGCAGCAGCUGCAGACCCCUGCAUGGCACUGAAGCCAUUGGCUGCCCCCAUGGCCAUGCACUGCUGCACCGGCAGCACCUCUCAUCAGAAUCUUUUCCUUCCAGGUAACCGUGAUAAAUUUAAAUGCAUUCUGUGCACAAGGGUUAUCAUCAAGACAGAACACUGCUUUCCAAAGGUAACUUAACCCCAUUUUUAGCACUGAUAAGCAUCCAGUAGGGUGGUGAACAUCCUACCUGAAGCAUGGCAGGGAUUUUAUCCCAUUCGUUCUUCACUGGAUUGUAAACAUCCACUUCAGCUGAGUCAUCCCUGCAGGAGAUAACACAAAAUUACUCUUCUGUGUUGUCAAAACCUUCUGCCUCGUGAAGCCCACGGCUGAACAGCCUGAGCCAUGACCUGCAACACCGCCACAAGUGCUUUUCCUGCAGCCCUGCCACAUAGACUGAAGACCAGAGGGCUGCUGUAUGAAGGCUCAGGUCUCAAAGCAAAGCUCAGCCUCCAGCACGGACUUCUCAGAUAACAGCAGUAAAGUUCAACCCCAGGAAACACCUGGAACUCUGUGCUGCACCUCUACACACAAAACACGCUACCGCAGACAUCGCUCAAGUACCACUGCCCUAAUUCUCAGUGCCAGUGACCUACAUCUAAAGAACCCGAAUGGCCCUUCUCAGCUUCUCCCUGGGCAAAGCAAUGCUUUAUGUACUUCCUGAUGUACGCUGAGCUUUAGGACACCACCUAGGAGGUACAAAAGACAAUUCGGAGGCAAUCCUGAGGGCUUUCUCAAACCCAGAC